UACACUCCUGCGGGAGGCAGCAGUGGGGAAUUUUGGACAAUGGGCGAAAGCCUGAUCCAGCCAUGCCGCGUGCAGGAUGAAGGCCUUCGGGUUGUAAACUGCUUUUGUACGGAACGAAACGGCCUUUUCUAAUAAAGAGGGCUAAUGACGGUACCGUAAGAAUAAGCACCGGCUAACUACGUGCCAGCAGCCGCGGUAAUACGUAGGGUGCAAGCGUUAAUCGGAAUUACUGGGCGUAAAGCGUGCGCAGGCGGUUAUGUAAGACAGUUGUGAAAUCCCCGGGCUCAACCUGGGAACUGCAUCUGUGACUGCAUAGCUAGAGGACGGUAGAGGGGGAUGGAAUUCCGCGUGUAGCAGUGAAAUGCGUAGAUAUGCGGAGGAACACCGAAGGCGAAGGCAAUCCCCUGGACCUGUACUGACGCUCAUGCACGAAAGCGUGGGGAGCAAACAGGAUUAGAAACCCUAGUAGUCCCAUGA
rnacentral:rRNA from 1 species